CCAUAUUUCACUUUCGAAUUUGGAGAUCCGGCAGUUCGAUUCUUUUUUUGGGUACACAAGGCGCACAAGAGAUACACCCAGCACAAAGGUGAAUCUAGAUUGAAGAUUCAAUGAACAACUCUAGAAAACAUAUAUAAAAACAAACAUCACUGGAGAAUUGGGUAGAAUCAAUUCUCCAUGAAUUACUAAAACUCAAAGUAGGAAACUAAUCUGUUAUGAGCGUUUCUACAUCAAUUGUACAAAAAAUAAAAAAUAAAUACAUUAAUUGACUAUUAUAUGCUAUGGUUGUAGCUCGAUUGGUAGUUUUUUGAAUUCGAGUAUUAAUAUAAUAAGGGGCAUGAGUUGGUGUUCAGUGAGUGAGGUUUCUCAUCCCAUACAAAUUUUUUGAAGGAAAAAAAAAUACAUUUUUUGACUGAUGUACAAUCUAACAGCUAUGGAUGAUUCAUAGGAGGGUGUAGAGGAGGUGGUGGAGAUCCUCUAGGCUUGUCUUUAUCCCGACCUUGAGCUCGAAGAAUUCGAGCACGCUAAUUCCAAGCUGCAUAUGGCCAUUUAUCAGUGCCUAUCUUGCAUUUUCUGCAGUUACUAAGAGCAGGAGGAACUGUUGACAACGCUAAACAACUUCUAGGGUCAGGCAAUAAAAUUGCAAACAAAGCAAAGAUUGCAAUAGUUGAGAGCUUUUCCAUUUGUAAUGAAGGAAGAGCUUGCGUUAUUUGAUGAGUCACCUGCCACAUUCAUAUAGAGUUUCUAUGUGUU
rnacentral:lncRNA from 1 species